rnacentral:tRNA from 1 species
GGGCCCAUGGUCUAGUGGCUAUGACAUCUCCUUGACGUGGAGAGGAUCGCAGGUUCGAAUCCUGCUGGGCCCA